AAAACGACUCUCGGCAACGGAUAUCUAGGCUCUCGCAUCGAUGAAGAACGUAGCAAACUGCGAUACUUGGUGUGAAUUGCAGAAUCCCGUGAACCAUCGAGUUUUUGAACGCAAGUUGCGCCCGAAGCCACUAGGCCGAGGGCACGUCUGCCUGGGCGUCACGC
rnacentral:rRNA from 3 species